rnacentral:rRNA from 1 species
CCUAUCCGUCGUGGGCGUAGGAAAUUUGAGAGGAGCGUUCCUUAGUACGAGAUGACCGGGAUGGACAUACCUCUGGUGUACCAGUUGUCGUGCCAACGGCAUAGCUGGGUAGCUAUGUAUGGACGGGAUAAGUGCUGAAAGCAUCUAAGCAUGAAGCCCCCCUCAAGAUGAGAUUUCCCAACUUCGGUUAUAAGAUCCCUCGAAGAUGACGAGGUUAAUAGGUUCGAGGUGGAAGCGUGGUGACACGUGGAGCUGACGAAUACUAAUCGAUCGAAGACUUAAUCAAUUUUUAAA